AAAAAAAAAAAAAAAACAGUCCAAAAUCUGUAAACCAAUAAAGGGUUUGCCAACGCCUGAGAAAAGGUUUUUAUUUUUACUUAAUCGCCGACCCACACGGUGAGGCUUUGUAGCACCAACCAACUAAGAACGCCAACUCUGCUCGUCCCGGUCUUCAUGUCGUAUUCGUGAUUUUAAUUGCUCCUCCUUAGCGCCUGUUUUGGGGUGUGGAGUGUCGUCCUGUGCGCCCAACGGAGCCGCUUGGAUGCCAUCUGAACCGAAGGUCUCUUCGCCUUGCGGGCCUUGCCCAUAGAAGGGGGCCCCAGCUCUGCAGGCUGCGAUUGCUUCGUCUCUACACGCCCUGGCAACCUCCACUAACUUUGUACCACUUUCAUCCACAUUGCCCACCAGAAAGGUUUCGGAGGUGUCUCCAUGGUAGCCAUUGUAAUAGACCUAAACACAGGCACACAUUUUAAGGCAUGUCCUUGUCAGGAAUUCCGUACUCCUAAAAUCUAUAUCCUGUUUGUUUAUGCAUUAAGUAAAUUUAUUACCUUCUCACCGUUAGUCUCAAGUUCACAUAUUAGUUAAAGACCACCAUUCUGAAAUCUAAAGGCUGAAACCAUGUGGUUCUCCAGCAUCUCAAAACAAGCAAAUGGCCACCUCAGCUUUGGGAUUAGUAAUGCUAUUGCAACAUUUUGAUCCCUCGUUUUAUUUCUAAGAAAGCAAAACUAUGCUUGGAAAAAUUAGUUGCUAAAUACAUUCACCUACAAUUACCACAGUAGGUUUAGAAAAUUAAGUAUUUAGCAUAGUUAAGCCAUGUCCUCGGUGUCGUGAGGAUUUGCAUGCUCUUUGAUUUACCAGCUGUAGGCUUAGACAUGAUACACAAUGACAAGAAGAAAUGAGGUGGACACGUCAGCAUCGUAACGGCGAGCAGGAGAAGUUCAUGUGAAGAAUGGAAGUGGCUCGUGGCAGUAAGGAAAUAUGUUAUAAAAAAUUCUACGUCUAAAAAUGGAAUUCGAAUCAAAUGUUUCAGAGAGCAUGAUGGUAACCGAGAACACUCUGCAUGGAUUUUUAAAGAGUCAGAGCAAAUCACAAAGCAAGCUGAGGGGUAAAGCCACAGAAAGAUAAUUUUAUCGUUCUUUUAUGACGCAGAAGCGCCAUGUGAUUUUGAACGACAUCGGGCUCAUCAUGAGAGACCAAUGAUUACAGCACCAGAGCACAUGGAGGGGCAGAGGAGACUGGUUGGCUGUUGACCCUUGGACACGGCGUGGCAUUUACUGUUUUGCAUAAACUUAGCCCAUCUAAUUAUCUUCACGGUUCCCCUUUUCCUGAGGUGGAACACAGGGACUCUGAGAAGAUCUGUUUAUUUAAGCUUUGUCUGAGUUAAUGUCAUACCCAUCGCCAUCGGGCAAUGAAGGCCAUGUUCUCCUGGGCAGCAAGAAGAUGAUGCAAAAGGCUUCACAGAGAUCGCUGGCUUUUAAGUCAGGAAACUGAGGCAGAGACAAAUAAAGUGUGCGGGUUCCUGACAGAGGAGAGAGGUACAUCCCAACCAGUCUGGUAGACUGAUGGCUUCUUAAUCCCGCCACGGUACAGCCAUGCUUGCUAAUUCAUUCCCACUUAUAUUCCCUUCCAGAAAAAUGUAAGCUUUUGUCAUAUACACUAAUUUAUAAUUUGUUAAUGUAAGUGUAGUUAUUCAAGAAAUUUUGCAACUGCAUGUUUUUAAGUAAAAUGUAUUCUUUAACUUCAUUUAGCUUGCUGUUCCAUAUUACCUUAAAAUUAAAAAUAUGUAGAAAUUA